rnacentral:misc_RNA from 1 species
GUAAGCCGUGUGCGGGAGAUCGGCACGCACGGUUUGAACGGGGGUCCUGUCAAUCUCCGCGCGGGAGACCGCGCUUGAUAAGAAAGGAUCUACCAAU